AGACAUCAGUGCCACUCUCAUUUGCAUUUCUAAAAAAAGAAAGAAGAAGAGGAAGCUUUUCAAUUAAAAAAAAAAACUAAUUUCACACGACCCUAGACAAUCCAUUGGGAUACACCCAUUCCGGCUGCAAGCAGAGGGCCAUGUGAAGUCACAGACAGACACAUAAGGAGAACAACGUGUAAUGACAGAGACAGAGAUUGAAGUGAUGUGUCUACAAACCAAGGAACACCAAGGAUUGCCAGCAACCACCAGAUGCUAAGAGUUCCUUCUUUGGAAGAUGGUUCAUUUCCUCAGUUAAACCAUACAUCUCGAGUGAAGAAGAAUUUUGAUUAAGCUGGGCUCAUCUGAAGUAAGGACAGCCUGAGAGGGAAGCAGAAGGCAUUCUGAGUGGACACCACAGCAUUGAUACACUGUACGAGACUAGACGAAGACAGCAUGAGUAUGAAUCAGGUAAGAGUGACUAGCACUGGGAUCAGUGUGACCGGAAUUAGCGCCUGUGUUAGAAGAUGAG
rnacentral:lncRNA from 1 species